CAACUUUCAGCUGUGGAUGUCUAGGCUCGCACAUCGAUGAAGAACGCUGCGAACUGCGAUACGUAAUGCGAAUUGCAUAAUUCACUGAGUCAUCGAAAUUUUGAACGCAUAUUGCACUUUCGGGUUAUACCUGGAAAUAUGUCUGUAUCAGUGUCCGUA
rnacentral:rRNA from 1 species